UACAGUGGUCUCAAGCGUUGUUCGGAUUCCUUGGGCGUAAAGGGUGCGUAGGUGGCGAUGUAAGUCUGGUGUGAAAUCUCGGAGCUUAACUUCGAAAUUGCAUUGGAUACUGCGUUGCUUGAGGAUUGUAGAGGAGAGUGGAAUUCACGGUGUAGCAGUGAAAUGCGUAGAUAUCGUGAGGAAGACCAGUUGCGAAGGCGACUCUCUGGGCAAUUCCUGACACUGAGGCACGAAGGCGAGGGGAGCAAACGGG
rnacentral:rRNA from 1 species